UACGGGGGGAGCAAGCGUUGUUCGGAUUUACUGGGCGUAAAGGGCGCGUAGGCGGCGCAACAAGUCACUUGUGAAAUCUCCGGGCUUAACCCGGAGCGGUCAAGUGAUACUGUCGUGCUAGAGUGCGGAAGGGGCAACUGGAAUUCUCGGUGUAGCGGUGAAAUGCGUAGAUAUCGAGAGGAACACCUGCGGCGAAGGCGGGUUGCUGGGCCGACACUGACGCUGAGGCGCGAAAGCGUGGGGAGCGAACAGG
rnacentral:rRNA from 1 species